rnacentral:lncRNA from 1 species
UGGCUCUCUCAAACUAUGAAUGAGCUAUUCUCUCUACUUCGUGGCACACAACAGAUCUCCUCUACCCAAAUUAUCAAAAUGAACUCCUCUCUUUCAGUCCUAACCCAACAUCAAUCUCUCCUUGAUUAAGUGUUAAUAGAUUUAGGGUUUCUCCAAGAUUGGGGAUUUAGGGUGUUUUUCGAUUAAGUGUUCUGAUCAAGAUUGAGGAUUUAGGGUUUUUUUUUUUUACUACAUUAGGCAGAGGCGACUACCUCGUCUAGUUCUCUUGGCGAUGACCCAGUCCCGGCGAUGACCUCAUCACGUUCUCUCAACAUCACACUAUCAGUCAGUCAAUCUAGAUCUAUCUCUCUCUGGGUGAGCUCAACGAUCCUGAGAAUGCUAUAAUUGAAGCUUUUGCAGGUCUAUUUGAUACUUGACUAAUUCCGUCUUGCUGGAGAACUCCAGGAAACAAACAAGAAGUGAGAUAGAAGAACAAAUCUUGUUUACACAGAACAGGAUAUUGAUGAAGUUUGAGCUGAAUGGGCGAAGCAUGUUUUGAAGUUUCCACAAAUGUAGUGCUUGGUAUAUGCAUAGUUAGGGUCGACUGUAAUUUUGUGCAUAUUGACAUUGCAUGCAUAGCUAGAUUAUGGAGGGUUUUUUUGCCUAGCUAAGAUGAUCGACUUUUGCCUUUAUCGAUCAUUAUUUUAACCUCCUAACAGCUUAUCAACUUUAGGAUGAAUUGAUGGAAAUGUUGAAUGUUGAUGUAGUUACUGGUUGAUUGAAAUGAAAUGACUUUUGACUUGUUAUAGUUAGAUGUUGUUAUUGU